rfam:Gossypium raimondii chromosome 10, whole genome shotgun sequence.
AAUCCAUGAAUUGGACAUUUUCGAGGUAAUUCUUUAAAUCGUUCUCAAGCUUCAUAUAGCAUUUCAUCCUCCAAUUGCUGAAAAAAAGUGAUGUCAUUUCUAAGCUU